rnacentral:rRNA from 1 species
GGAGUCUGGGCCGUAUCUCAGUCCCAAUGUGGCCGGUCGGUCUCUCAACCCGGCUACCCGUCGUCGGCUAGGCGGGCCUCUGCCCCGCCUACUACCUGAUGGGCCGCGACCCCAUCCCCCGCCGCCUGGGCUUUCCCGCCGGGGCCAUGCGGUCCCGGCGGCGCAUCAGGUAUUAAUCCCGGUUUCUCGAGGCUGUCCCUGAGCGGGGGGCAGGUUGGUCACGUGUUACUCACCCGUUCGCCACUUCAUAUCCGCCCGAAGGCGGUUUCACCGUUCGACUUGCAUGUGUUAGGCACGCCGCCAGCGUUCAUC